rnacentral:rRNA from 1 species
CAGUAGCCGCGGUAACACGAAGGGUGCAAGCGUUACUCGGAAUUACUGGGCGUAAAGCGUGCGUAGGUGGUGGUUUAAGUCCGUUGUGAAAGCCCUGGGCUCAACCUGGGAAUUGCAGUGGAUACUGGGUCACUAGAGUGUGGUAGAGGAUAGUGGAAUUUCCGGUGUAGCAGUGAAAUGCGUAGAGAUCGGAAGGAACAUCUGUGGCGAAGGCGACUAUCUGGGCCAACACUGACACUGAGGCACGAAAGCGUGGGGAGCAAACAGGAUUAGAGACCCCCGUAGUCCCUGUCUCUUAUAC